rnacentral:piRNA from 1 species
UUAGCCGUUUUUUUAGAGGAA